rnacentral:sRNA from 5 species
GAAAGACGCGCAUUUGUUAUCAUCAUCCCUGUUUUACCAGAGAUGUUAAUUUGGCCACAGAAGUUAUGUGGCCUUUU